ACUGGCUGGGGGAGGGGCAGGCUGGCGCAGUGGGGGAACAGUUGUGGGACAGGCUGGGGGAGGGGCAGGCUGGCGCAGUGGGGGAACAGUUGUGGGACUGGCUGGGGGAGGGGCAGGCUGGCGCAGUGGGGGAACAGUUGUGGGACUGGCUGGGGGAGGGGCAGGCUGGCGCAGUGGGGGAACAGUUGUGGGACUGGCUGGGGGAGGGGCAGGCUGGCGCAGUGGGGGAACAGUUGUGGGACAGGCUGGGGGAGGGGCAGGCUGGCGCAUGGGGGAACAGUUGUGGGACAGGCUGGGGGAGGGGCAGGCUGGCGCAUGGGGGAACAGUUGUGGGACAGGCUGGGGGAGGGGCAGGCUGGCGCAGUGGGGGA